rnacentral:misc_RNA from 1 species
GUAGCAAUACCGUCAUCGUCAAGUUGUGUAGCUUGAUUAGAAUUUGAGCAUGUUUUCUGUGUAAAUGUGCAAGCAUUGAAUAAAUAUAUAUGCAUUGCUGUAAAUGACAGAAUCAUGUUUAACUUUAUCACAUGCUUUUAAAUAGCGUGUUUAUUC